rnacentral:rRNA from 1 species
GAGGAAUAUUGGUCAAUGGGCGAAAGCCUGAACCAGCCAUGCCGCGUGCAGGAAGACUGCCCUAUGGGUUGUAAACUGCUUUUGUAUGGGGCGAAACACCAGUCGAGCAUUGGUUAUGACGGUACCAUAGGAAUAAGCAUCGGCUAACUCCGUGCCAGCAGCCGCGGUAAUACGGAGGAUGCGAGCGUUAUCCGGAUUUAUUGGGUUUAAAGGGUUCGUAGGCGGCUUAAUAAGUCAGUGGUGAAAUACCGGAGCUUAACUUCGGGGCUGCCAUUGAUACUGUUGAGCUAGAGUAUGAUCGACGUUGGCGGAAUGUGACAAGUAGCGGUGAAAUGCAUAGAUAUGUCACAGAACACCGAUAGCGAAGGCAGCUGACGAGGUCACAUACUGACGCUGAGGAACGAAAGCGUGGGGAUCAAAC